rnacentral:rRNA from 1 species
GUGAGUAGUUCAGAGUUUGAUCCUGGCUCAGGAUGAACGCUAGCGGCAGGCUUAACACAUGCAAGUCGAGGGGCAGCAUAAUGAAGUAGCAAUACGGAUUUGAUGGCGACCGGCGCACGGGUGCGUAACGCGUAUGCAACCUACCCAUAACAGGGGGAUAACACUGAGAAAUUGGUACUAAUACCCCAUAACACUUUGGAAGGCAUCUUCUGGAGUUGAAAGUUCAGGCGGUUAUGGAUGGGCAUGCGUUGUAUUAGCUAGAUGGUGAGGUAACGGCUCACCAUGGCUACGAUACAUAGGGGGACUGAGAGGUUAACCCCCACACUGGUACUGAGACACGGACCAG